rnacentral:tRNA from 1 species
GAGGCUUUAGCUUAAUUAAAGUGUCUGAGUUGCAUUCAGGAGAUGUGUAAUAGAGUUAUACUAGCCUU